GUCCCCCACUGGUCUUCUGAGCAGACUUGACGCAGCUUCAUCUCAUUCCCGAGGUAUCCUGAGCCCCUCAGUGCCAUACUUCUGCGUGAGUGCUGUGAACUGGAGCAAAUGGGUUGAAAAUGGCCAGAGGUUGCUCUUGGUCUCUUUAGAUCUUUUAUGACAAAGAAAAAAAUUGAAUUUCUGACCAGUUAAAAUCCAUUUGAGCCAGUUUAAGCUAAUUAUGCAGAACUGGAGCCUGAGGUCGGUAAAUCCAGGAAGAUGGCUGAAUACUAUGCUGACUCAAGUACAGACAAGGAGCCAGAUGAAAAAACCGAGGCUCCAAGAGCUUCUGUGACUUGUCCAAGACCAUACAGCUAGUUCACAGUGAGGCACAGUAUCAGUUGUAGACAUACUUCAGGGAAUUUGGAUACUAUUUUGUGGCCUGGCAAGAUCAGCACCCUUACUAUCUUAGUCCCUGCCAGUCAUCAACCUCUGGUUUCCCUGUUAUCCUGCUGCUCCCUAGAAAGCAGCUAUUAAGUGGCCGAAGAACCAGCACCUUCACGGAGUAGCAAAGAGUAAAGUCCAUUUGAGGACAGAGUGAGAAGACGAUGGUUAUCCACAAGCCAGAAAAAGAAGCCUCACCAGAAACCAAUCCUGAUACGCUGAGUUUGGGUUUUCAGCCCCUACAACUGUGAGACAACGAAUAUCUUCUUUACAGCACACAGUCUAUAUCUUGUUGUGGUAGACCAAGGAGACUAAUCUAUUACUUAAUAUUGGGAACAUUACUUAGAAGCAAAUGAUCUUCAAAAAUGGUAAAGUUAUUUGUGUUUGCUAUUUUCAUUCUUCCUUUCCUCGGUUGAGCCAUUUAAAACAAUGAUACUGGCACUUAUUUCUCUUUAACUUUCAGUAUUUGAUUUCCAACAGUAUGGCUAAGGACUGACAAACACUGUCUUGAUAAUACACUACAGAGCACUAGAGACAGUCCAAGAUUUCCACCCAAAGAGUGUAUUCUAAGUUUAGGUGGUGGUAAUGGAGCACUCUGACCUGUGAAGCAUCAUUGUUUGAAGGCUUUAUUUGUGAUCCUCUUUAGAUCUCAGUUUGGAACUGGGUUACAGACUAGAUCAUAUCUCCUCAUUCUCUCCAUUUGAUAUUUCUUCCCUCAUUAAUUCCAAAGUAUGCAAGCUAUAUGCUUUCUAGUGUUUUCCCCCUUCACAGCCAUUGUCUAGGCACCAAAAACAGAGAUGGAAAGAGACAGGUUUAAUCCAAAGCACCAGUUUCCAUUACCUUAAGCUUCCUCAAUGAUUUUUCUGAUGGGAUGAAAUUUCUUACACUUGGUCUCAGGCCCAAGGUAUAUGCAAUACGUCAAUGAAAUUGCUUGCGACACAUUGAAGUGAUUGCCUGGGAAUUAUGAGUUCCUUAACU
rnacentral:lncRNA from 1 species